rnacentral:rRNA from 1 species
AUGUGCGGGUGUGCGGAGGCGCUCGUGAGGGCGGUGGUGGCCUUCUUCGACACCUUCCUCGUCGAGUGCUUCCUCUUCUGGUUCCGCCGCCGCCCCGGCCCCGACAGCCCCGCCUCCGCCCACCGGGAUCCGCUCGUGCCCAAGGACUGGACAGGGGAGGCACUCCCGGCCUCGGACGAAGAGAAAGGUUUUGUAGAGAGCACAUUGUCGAACCAGCAGUUGGCAGAUGGCGAUGACACAGAUGAGUAG